rnacentral:lncRNA from 1 species
GAUUUUUGGAGGUAUAUCAGGGCUGUGCCAGAUUGACAGGUGAGUGGAAGUUAUGUACUUUGCACUAUGAGCAUUCUUAAUUCAUUUUCAUAAAUGUCGCCAAGUGUGAAUUGAUUCCACUUGUGCAUAUUGAUUGAUGUUGUAGUAGAUUCCUCUAUAAUCUUGUUUCUUCAUGCUUGAUUAUUUUGUACAUGCAUUUGAGGGAACAUUGAGAGAAAUUACAAGGGAUAGAUGAGUAGUUAAAUUGGUUCCAAAUUGUGAAAUGACUUUUUUUGUAAAUUGAUUUCAUUUUCUCUAUUUCAAAAACUUGUAGAGCCUUUUCAGUUGUAUAUGGAGUUGCAUUGUACUCUCUUGACCCCUCACUCCUAAUCCUGAUGUUAGUUUAUGAUUGGGUCGUGAUCGAGUGAGUGGUAGUCUUGAUUAUACUCCUUUUUAGUAGAGUAUUGGGAGGGUGCAUUAUGGCAUUAUGCAUGGCUUGGCAGUAUCUACAGGACACUUAUAGUCGAUGGGGUUAGACAUCGGCCUGUGUGCACAUAGUAGCCUUCUGGAUAGGCGGAGCCCAGUCCCUUCCUAGGGGGGACACGGCCCUAGGCGUAGGAUCGGCCGGUCCUACGACGUAUAUUCUGCUUGCCGCCGGGCAUAGUAAGACCCCGUGAGGUGCUGUAUGGAUUUUCGUGGAUGUAGAAUUUCCGCGAGGUGCCAUUUAGUAUUCAGAUGUGAGAUGAGUCUCACGGUUUUCUAUGAAUUUCUAUUCUGGAUACUGGCCAACAUUUACAUGAUCAGUAUGGUGUCUUAUUUUGCUUAUGCAUAUGAUAGUAGGGAGUUGUUGUGGUUCGCCUGGGGCGUAAGACCCACCUCCCGACAGCUGUCUAGUGAUGACUUCGCAUAUUGAUACCCUGAUUUACAUAUUGGUGUUGUGUCAUAUUCUAUGCAUGCAUAUGGCAGUAGAGAGUUGUUGUGGUUCGCCUGGGGCAUAAGACCCAUCUCUCGAUAGCUAUUUAUCGAUGUUUCAGCAUAUUGACAUUCGAUUUGUAUGUUCCAGCAUUAUGAUUUGUCGAGCAUAUUCAUGAGUAGCAUAUAUGUUUACUUGAUUAUUCUAUAUAUGCUCCAGAUGAGUUGAUUGGGAUUGUGAUGAUUUACUCCAUAUUUCUUAUGUUGAGUUAUGUGUAUCCUAUUCUUGAUGAUUGCUUAUAUGCUCUUGAGAUUUCACCUCGAGCCAUGAUUAUAUCUUGUCUCAUGUGCAUAGUACUCUCUACUCCACUCACUGAGUAUUCAUAUACUCACUCCCCAGUUUGAUGUUUUUGAUUGCAGGGCAGGUAUUGUAUAGAGAAGAGCAGGAUUAGUGGUUGCCUGCUAGCUGUGCCACUCCAUAGUAUAGUAUAAUGUAGAUAGAGGUUUAUACCUUUUGGUGUAUUAUAAACCUUCUGUUGUAUAUAGUGUAUAGUUACAGUCAUAGAUCCUGUUGUGGAUAUGGAUUUGACCAUGGAUGGAAUGGGAACCAGAUUUUUAUACAGAUGAGUUAUAUGCAUGUGAUGAUGUAUUUAUAUAUAUUGUCCAGAUUCAUUAUAUGACAGAUUAUGUGAUUGCUGCUCUGACAGGUAGUGUUGUUGUAUGUAUUGAGAUAAUCCUGACAGGUCACCAUAGAAAAGGUGAUCAUUUUGUG